GAAACUCAAAGGAAGUUGACGGGGGCCCGCACAAGCGGAGGAGCAUGUGGUUUAAUUCGAUGAUACGCGAGGAACCUUACCUGGGCUCAAAUGUAUGUUGACGUAUUCUGAAAGGGAUACUUCUUCGGACAAUAUACAAGGUGCUGCAUGGUUGUCGUCAGCUCGUGCCGUGAGGUGUCGGGUUAAGUCCCAUAACGAGCGCAACCCCUACCUUUAGUUGCCAUCAGGUAAUGCUGGGGACUCUAAAGGAACUGCCUACGCAAGUAGUGAGGAAGGCGGGGAUGACGUCAAAUCAGCACGGCCCUUACGUCCAGGGCUACACACGUGCUACAAUGGCCGAUACAGAGGGCAGCUACCUGGUGACAGGAUGCAAAUCUCCAAAGUCGGUCUCAGUUCGGAUCGGAGUCUGCAACCCGACUCCGUGAAGUUGGAUUCGCUAGUAAUCGCGCAUCAGCCAUGGCGCGGUGAAUACGUUCCCGGGCCUU
rnacentral:rRNA from 1 species